GGGCAAUCGAAUGGGGCGAAGCUGACGGAGCACGCCGCGUGAGUGAAGAAGGUCUUCGGAUCGUAAAACUCUGUUAUUAGGGAAGAACAAAUGUGUAAGUAACUAUGCACGUCUUGACGGUACCUAAUCAGAAAGCCACGGCUAACUACGUGCCAGCAGCCGCGGUAAUAA
rnacentral:rRNA from 1 species